rnacentral:tRNA from 1 species
GGGCCAGUAGCUCAGCUGGUAGAGCAUCGCCCUUUUAAGGCGGGUGUCCUGGGUUCGAGUCCCAGCUGGCUCACCA